rnacentral:rRNA from 1 species
CCUACGGGAGGCAGCAGUGAGGAAUAUUGGUCAAUGGACGCGAGUCUGAACCAGCCAUGCAGCGUGCAGGAUGACUGCUCUAUGGGUUGUAAACUUCUUUUGUACGAGAAUAAAGUCAGGCACGCGUAUCUUUUUGUAAGUACUUUAUGAAUAAGGAUCGGCUAACUCCGUGCCAGCAGCCGCGGUAAUACGGAGGAUCCAAGCGUUAUCCGGAUUUAUUGGGUUUAAAGGGAGCGUAGAUGGUCUGUUAAGUCAGUGGUGAAAGUUUGCGGCUCAACUGUAAAAUUGCCAUUGAUACUGGCAGGCUUGAGUACAGUUGAGGUAGGCGGAAUGCAUGGUGUAGCGGUGAAAUGCUUAGAUAUCACGCAGAACACCGAUUGCGAAGGCAGCUUACUAAGCUGCCACUGACAUUGAUGCACGAAAGUGUGGGUAUCAAACAGGAUUAGAUACCCUAGUAGUC